rnacentral:rRNA from 1 species
UACGUAGGGACCAAGCGUUGUUCGGAUUUACUGGGCGUAAAGGGCGCGUAGGCGGCGAAUCAAGUCAGCUGUGAAAUCUCCGAGCUUAACUCGGAACGGUCAGCUGAUACUGUUUUGCUAGAGUGCAGAAAGGGCAACCGGAAUUCUUGGUGUAGCGGUGAAAUGCGUAGAUAUCAAGAGGAACACCUGAGGCGAAGGCGGGUUGCUAGGCUGACACUGACGCUGAAGCGCGAAAGCUAGGGUAGCAAACGGG